AUUGAACGCUGGCGGCAUGCCUUACACAUGCAAGUCGAACGGCAGCGCGGACUUCGGUCUGGCGGCGAGUGGCGAACGGGUGAGUAAUACAUCGGAACGUACCCUGUUGUGAGGGAUAACUAGUCGAAAGAUUAGCUAAUACCGCAUACGACCUGAGGGUGAAAGUGGGGGAUCGCAAGGCCUCACGCAGCAGGAGCGGCCGAUGUCUGAUUAGCUAGUUGGUGGGGUAAAGGCCCACCAAGGCGACGAUCAGUAGCUGGUCUGAGAGGACGAUCAGCCACACUGGGACUGAGACACGGCCCAGACUCCUACGGGAGGCAGCAGUGGGGAAUUUUGGACAAUGGGGGCAACCCUGAUCCAGCAAUGCCGCGUGUGUGAAGAAGGCCUUCGGGUUGUAAAGCACUUUUGUCCGGAAAGAAAUCGCGCUGGUUAAUACCUGGCGUGGAUGACGGUACCGGAAGAAUAAGCACCGGCUAACUACGUG
rnacentral:rRNA from 1 species